CACGAGAAAGGGUUAUUUACCCAUUUUGUCUAAAUAUAUUUCAGUUUGAAAGUCCAGAAAGAGACACUAAAGCGUUCUAUUGAUUUUUGCUUCUAAUUAAACACUGGAAAAUCAAGUGGAGCUCAUGGCAUUGUGGCAUACAGCACUUCUUGUGCUCCGGUUGCAUUUCAGCAAAUUAUAGUAGCAGGUCAUCUGGGCAUUCCAUACAUACUGAACAUGUUCAUAGUGUGCAUACUGUAGUAUACAUAAUGCAUACUGCAGCAAUUGUAUAGUAAUAGUAGUAGAAGUAGUAUGUAACUCCGAACACUCCCAAAUAGAGACACGGAUACAAUGAGCGUCUGGAAGUAAAAUGUAUAAUGAAUGAAGGUGUAUGUUACCGUUCUUUCUGAGAAUUCAAAUUUAAGACACAGUGUUCUCAUUCAACACUUGCACGCAUUUGUCAGCAUGAACGGUGUACAGUAGAUAUAUUAACCCAUAUGUGACUCGACUGAAAACUAUGUGUGUGUAGUAUUUCACCCUGGAUUUUGGCAGCUACUGCAGCAAUUCAGCAAAGACGGAAUAUAGUUACUGUUCUCUGCUUAUGUGUGUGUGUGUUUGUGCUCAGGAUGGUCAAAAAGGAAGCCUAUCUUCACAUAACAGCAAUGUGUUGACAGGUCUAUUUCACUGACUGCCCUGCCAUCAAAGAAAAACACUGCCGCCAUCUAUAAACCACCCCCACUGAACGGUGUAGCCUGAGCGAGCAGGUAUUGUUUUCAUCCGUGACUAAGUACGGAUCCUCUUACCCUGCCUGCUAUCAGCUGCAUACAGGAGAGCAAUGUGAUCUCACAGCGGCCUGCUCACUGACCUGGGACCAGCUUCACCACUCUUUGUCAAUGGGUCUCAUGCUGCGGCUGAUCGGCGUCUGAUCGCUGCUCCACAGGUGAAUAGCUCACCUCCUCCUCCACCUCCUCCCUCCCUCCUUUUCUCUUCCUCUCUUGGAUGGUCACUGGAGUCAGUUAGCGGAUGGAGUUAAGUUGUUCCUGAACUUCGUGCUCCUGGGCUACGUCCUUUUGAAACAGCAAAGACUAACGUUCUGGAUUAUUCUGAUUCAACUCUGCUCGUAUUCAAGGUGUGUGUGUGUGUGUUUGAUCCGUCACUUCCAUCGUGGAAUUCGAUGCUUGAGAGCUGUGCGAGUGGACUUGCAUAUAUCGCCUGCUGUUGAAGCCUGUGGUGAGCAAUCUCUCUCUCACACACACUUACACAUAUUCGCACACACUAAAAACGUUCAGUUAAAUGUUGAUUGUGAAGACAGCGCUGUAUGCACGGAUAGGGAAGUUUUGUCAGUCUCAGUGCUGCUUGGACCUUAAACAGUAUUUUAAUUGCUUCCCGGUGGCCACUGCAGUCUCACUAUGAGGCCAGAUUUACCAGAAGCUUCCUUUUGUGAUGUUCUCAUUUGACUGCAUCUGAUUGGAGUGCCAUGUUGAAUGACUGGAGCAGAUGAGACUCCUCAGAAAGUGUGUGAUCAGGCAAAGCAGUAUUGCAUGAAUAAAUGUCCAUACUGAGAUUGUGAAAAAUGUGGC
ensembl:lncRNA